rnacentral:rRNA from 1 species
UACGAAGGGUGCAAGCGUUACUCGGAAUUACUGGGCGUAAAGCGUGCGUAGGUGGUUCGUUAAGUCUGAUGUGAAAGCCCUGGGCUCAACCUGGGAAUGGCAUUGGAUACUGGCGACCUAGAGUGCGGUAGAGGGGUGUGGAAUUUCCGGUGUAGCAGUGAAAUGCGUAGAUAUCGGGAGGAACAUCUGUGGCGAAGGCGACACCCUGGACCAGCACUGACACUGAGGCACGAAAGCGUGGGGAGCAAACAGG